rnacentral:lncRNA from 10 species
AAAGAGUCUUGCUUAUUUGUCCAGUUCAGCCACAUUCUGCCUUGCAGAGUGGUUUCUAAGGUGUGUUAUAGAGUGUAUUCACCCCAUGCCAAUUACUUGUUAACCUUUUUUAUUAACCAUUCUCUCUGCUCAUUAGGAGGUUAAUUGGUAUGGAAAUCAUCAAUGUUCCCUGCUUUCUGGCUUACAGUUGAAGUCAGCUAAUGGGAAGUGUCUAGCAGAUCAGAAAUGCACAGGGCAUUUAUUCCAUUUUCCUGCUUUCUGGGUUUCUGUGGGCUGAUGCAUUCCUCUGUCACUUAUCAGAGCUCCUGUCGGGCUCUUCUUCUCACAUGGUCCUCUCUCUCUCAGGGGUUGGGAAUCUUCCUCCAAUUGCCCCAUCAAGUCUAUAGUGAAAUGGAGAGCCUCUGCUGCUAGCCUCAGUGUGCUUCACUACCCAUUGCCCUUCCUUUGUGGUUUUCCUACACUUUACCCACAUCUUUGUAUGUAGCCCCUUUAUAAAAUUGCAUUAGUUUUCUGUGGAUCCCUGACCCACCUGGGAUAACACAUACCACAACCGUAUCACCAAGGUACUCCAAAUCAAAAAUGUAAGCCAGAAGCUGUAGAGACAAAAUAAAAUGCAAUAGAAGGAUUUGGAUGUACAACAGUUAACUCAAGUUUAGUCACUGCUAAAAUAUCUUCCCAGGAAACAAUGACCUUUCUUCUAGAUACAUUGGCCCCCAGUAUGUUUGGCUGUGUUUCCAGCAGGUGUGUCUAUAUUGUGACCUUCCCCGGUCUGCUUCUCCCACAUUCAAACUUAGCUAAUUUGACCAUGAACGGUCACAUGAUCUGAUCAGUGUCACUUGAG